GGGAGGGGAGGAGAGAAGAAGAGAGGAGAGGAGAGGAGAGGAGAGGAGAGGAGGUAGUCCCAGUUAGGAUGGCCAGAAGCAGAAAAGAGAAGACUCUUGUCAUUCCAUUUCCACUUGGCUAUUUGGGAGAGCCUGAGAGCUACAGGCUGAAUAGGGCCUGCUGCAAUCCACAGCAGAUAGUCUUGAGACUAAAGUACUGCCAUGGGUGUCAUUAAGAAAGAAUGCAGAGGUGGCAGAAGAAGGGGGAACCUCUGAGCUGGGGAGGGCAUUUCUCCUCAACUCCAGGCAGACAGGCCCUGCAAAGUAAAACCAGACCUCCAUGGAGUCUGUGCUGUAGACAGGCUCAGAGGGAGGGGCUCUGUUUCUGCCACAGAAGUGCAGCCUCAUCAGGGAACAGGAAUCCCUAAACCAGAAACUCACUCUGGGCUUCCUCAGAUCCCCCAGAGAAAGGCCACGCCCCUGGAUACGGUUGUCAUGGCAGCAGCUGACAGGGGCUGACUGCCUUCCCCCUUGCUUGCAUGGCUGCCCUGCUUGCCUUCUGAUACCUUCAACUCCUGCUACCUGAAAAGGCCUGUACUGUCCACUUUUUGUGAGCAGCUUUCACCAAGGGAAUACCCCUGUAACAUAUUCUGAAAAACUCUGGAAGGUGAGAUGUGGGGAAAAGUCCCUCCUGAAUUAUAUAGGCUAGUCAAGGAAUCUACUAACAAUAGCUGGGAUUCCACAGACAUGCAUUCCAGGGCCAAUCUUUUUCCUGGCUUGCUAGAUGAAUUUGGAAACAUAUUUAAUCUUUUUCUGUCUCUAUUUUCUCAUAUAUAAAUGAGGUCAAAAGCCGAUUUAUUAAAUUGUAUCCUUAUAGCAUUUACAAAUUUAUAUUUCUAAAUUUUUAGUCUAGUCUGAAUUCAGAGAUGUGCAAGAAUGAUGAUUUGGAUUUGGUGCCAAGUGGUGUGACACUGGUUACUACUAAAGUAACAAAUAUACAAUGCAAAGUAUAUAAAAGAAGUGACAGUGCUUGUGAAUGAAUGCAGCAACCCAUUCUUUUUUUUUAACUAUUAAUUUUGAGAGAGAGAGAGCUUGUGAGAGUGCCAGGGAGGGGCAGAGAUAGAGGGAGAGAGAAUCCCAAACAGACUCCCCACUUUCAGCACAGAGCCUGACACGUGCUCAAACUCGUGGGGCUCGAACUCAGGAACCAUGAGAUCAUAACUUGAGUUGAAUUCAAGAGUUGACACUUAACCUACUGAGCCACCCAGGCAUCCCUGUAGCAACCCAUUCUGUGCCUUGUGGUGGUCGUGGCAGCUUGGUGGUCUUGGCAGACCCUAUAACCUGAAAUACUCACCAAGUCAGAGGAGCACAGACCUGCGGGUGCACUACUUUUUAAACUCCCAGUCUAGUCAGCUCUCAGAAAGAAUUUUGGACUAACCUACAAAGCAACAUUAUCUGCUACACAGUGAGCCACUUCACCAAGGCCUAAUGUCCAGGCUGUAAGCGUUAACAUUCUUUCUAUGAUCACACUGGGAAUUCCUCUCUUCUGUGUUUGCUCUUCAGAGAAGGAGUUUUCAAUGCAGUCAGCUUAAGGGCUUUUGUGUGUGUGUGAGCAAGACUGAUUAAGAUCUACUUCAUUGGGAGGAGAAUAUUUCCACCUAUGCUCCAUUUGGCUGAAGAAGAGUUCUAGAAUGUUUAUUCAAAGAGUGCAUGGAAUAAAUUGAGGAACUUGUAGCAAAAGUGGAGACAUGAGAAAGGAUGGAAGAAAGGAUCAAAAGUGUUCAAAGUGAAGAGAUCAUGUACAUACCAUGAUAAGUAAUGAAAUCAGACAUAGACUACAAACUAAGCAAUGGAUCUAUAGUGCUCUGAAAGAAUCCCUUUUUCUCUAGGUUGAGAUAAACUAUCUCGUUCUCUCCAGAAGCAAUGGUGCCGUGAAGACUUUGCUGUCAUAGGGCUGGCUUCUCAUGGCUCUCCUGAAACAUCCCAAGGAACAAUUGUUUUACAAGAUGUACUUUCUUUUAUAUUACCUAUUUCUAUUCCUUUCUUUUCAGGAAUUACUCAUUCUAGGAGAAUGGCACAGCAAGUGCACAGAGUGGGGAGAGGCAGAGCGUGAGCGUGGAGGGACAGAGAGAGAAGGAGACACAGAAGCUGAAGCAGGCUCCAGGUCCUGAGCUUUCACCACAGAACCUGACCCAGGGCUCAUACUCACCAGCCGUGAGAUCAUGACCUGAGCCAAAGUCGGAUGCUUAUCUGACUGAGCCACCGGGCAUCCCAAUGUGACCAGCUUUCAAAAUCUGAAAUUCCAAGUUGUCCUUAGUACUAUGAGAUUAUAUGACCUCAGAGACUGACUUUGUGGAAAACCAUCCUACCCCCCUCACAAGGGCAGCCCCCAGCUGCUGUGUACAUUUCAAACUUUCAAAAAAGUGGCUGCCUAAAGGAUCUAUAUUUGUGUUGUUACUGAGCAGAAAAAACAGGUGGCUGGAUUAUUUGUUUACCCACACACACUUGAAUCUACCGCCUGCUUCCCAAAUGACAACAAACAGCUCUUUUCUCUUGUCUAAUGAAAAACUGGAUGUAGGUGGAUAUUAGUAUCAGUAAUAACCGUAUGGAACAGAA